AAUUUAGUUUAUGCUUUGAUUAUAGUAUAAAGUCAGAGACUUCAAAGGCUAACUGAAUGCGCUGAUUAUCAUUAAAACAACUCCAAAUCUUUUCACAAAAAAAAUAACAACACAAGCUAUUUUCUAAAUGUAAAGAUUAUAGAAAACCUGUAUGAGCUUCAACAAAAAUUAAAAUAGAAGAACAAAAUAGAACUUCCAGUAAUAAUCUUAUUUAUUAAAAAUGUUUGCAAUUUAAAAAAUAUAAAAAAUGAAAUCGAAACAUUUCAAUCGCAGUUAAAUUUUUUCUAAAUUUUUUUUUUACCAUUCAGCACACUUUUCUCAACACUGGGCACUCAAUACACACAUUGACUGAAGGGGGAUUACGGGAGGGUACAAGAUAAUUAAGUGUUUCCACUCCUUCAAGCGUCCCAACUCUAUUUGCACUUUAAUCAAUGGUCACUCCCAUUCGGUAAUUUUCUUCUCGAUUCUUUUUACUCAGCAUUUUUUUCACUCCUUGCUUUUUGUCUCGCUUCGUUUGAAUAUAUAUUUUUGGGGGCAGCGGCAUGGUGAAGGGAGGUCAGCAGUUGACACUUUGCAUCUUGUGCAAUCACCAAAUAUUGUCAGAGGAUGUCAACGUCGUUUUCGUCGCAGUCGGCAUCGGCGUCAGCUCCAACUUUGUAUCGAAGUUUGCACACAAUCAGUAAAAUAUUUUGGCCAUCCUUCGGGGACGACCUCAUUUCGUCUUUGUCGUUGUCAGUUGAAUGCUGGAGGGGAACGAGUCGAGGAUGUGGACGUGGACGUGGACAAGACGACGCUUCGUCGCCUGCUCGGGACUCUUCAAUGUUUUUCUUUUAGCCCUGCACAUUUUUCCGUUUUUUAAUCUUUUGCCUUUCGCUUCUGGUUGCUUUCUAAGCCUUGCCCCUUUCGAUGCUCCGCCAAGCCGGAGUCCUGGUCUAGCUGAGGGCAAACUUUUUGGCGUUUCAUCUGCAGCACAUCAAUUUUUGUUGCUGACGAGCAAAAGUUGCAAUACUCUAAGUCCAAGGCAAUGCCAAAAGCUAGCCACCCACCCACUACACCACGCCCUCCAAUGCGAAUAUUAUUCUACUAUUGGGUCGCAGGCUGUCCUUCCGGCUGUCUACUGAUUGACGGCGACUGACAAGUUUCUCUUCGACUGCGCAUUGACUUUUCUUUGCAGUCGUUGCAUUUUACGAGUAUGUUCCAAGUUCCAACUUGGCUCCUGUUCAGGCCCAGGCAGGCUACGCAGACAAUUUCAGUAAAUAUCUAAUCCUUAAGUAUAUGGCAGGAAGCGUCAGCCCUCUGAUGUGCAUGUGUUUUGGACCUGGCUAUGUGAAAUUCUGUCGCUUCGUUGCAUAACAUCGUGCCUGCCAGACAUCGCAUUCGCAGCUAACACCCCCAAGCUGCUAGCCCGCCCCACUGGGAACUGGGUAGCCCAAGGAGCUUUUGCCUGUUAUUUGCUGGUCACUUUGUCAGUCUUUCAGUCAGUGCAGUUGCACAAAACUGUCUACAUUGAGCCCCAACAACAAUGACAGCCAACAGACACGAGUCCUUAUUACAUCUUGGCGACAAGCUCCUUGACCGUAUUUUCUUCCUUUUUUAAUUUUCUACAUAGAUUUUGCAUGUUUCACUAACAAGUUGCAAGUAAAUUUCGAUUAAACUAUUUCUUUUCUUAUCAACAAUUUCGGUAUCAUCUGAAUGAACUUGACUUGGCUAAGAAUUUUGAGAAACUUUAAAGUUCAAACUAAUCCCCAAAAAGUACAGAGGAAUUUCGAAAUAACGAACGCAGAAUUUACAGACUUUUUUUUUUAGAAAAUAAAGCUAUCUGAAACUACAACAAACCAGACACUAAAAAAAAGAUAUUACAAAUUACAUUCAUAGCUACUCUGCCAUUUCUUCAACUACCCAACGUUUAUCAACACUGGAAGUCCACAUCAAUCAAUAUGUAUACGCAAUGAAAAAUACAUAGCAAAAUGUAUCAGGAUAAGAGAAGUUGUAGAACUCUCAAGAGUAAGAGAGAGAAGAAGAGAGAGCGAUGGAGGGAGAUAGCGAGGGGUCAAGAGAUGAAAAGAAAUACGUUGGCUACUUUGUGUGGAGCAGAGUUCAAACCUCAAGCUCAUUGCUUAAACUUUUCAACCGACUAAAACCCAAACUCAAACUUGAAACUUCAACUCGGACGUGCAUGUGGACGUACAACAUAUAGCGCAUCAGUCAAAAAUUGUUCUUGCUUGUCAUCAGAGACGUGCCACGUCCGCGUGCAGCGUGGCAGAGGGAAGCAGUUGGAAAAAAGAUGAGGAAAUGUUGCAAAAGCACAGAAGAAACUUUGAUGCUGACCACAAGAUAGGCAAAUCGGCAAGAAAGUUAACCGAAACGAGCAUACCCUUUCUGAUUAGAAAGGCGAAGAAAUUAUAAGUGCUUAAAAUAUUGUACAAAGUGCUAAGGAUUGUAUUAAAUCUCAACCUUCUACAUCAUUCGGCUCCAGCUAUACACCAUGAUUGAAACGCCUCAAUGGCAACUUUUUACGAUAUUGCCCUAGUGGCAAUACAAUUACAUUAGCUCUUAUAUUCCACAUUAUUCGGCUCACGCCGUACAUGAUGUUGGAAACAUCUUUAAAUUAAGGUGCCUAUCAAACCUUCCACAUCUUUCGGCUCAAGCUAUACAUCACGAUUGAAACGCUUUUAAGGUGAGGGUAUUUAGCACACAGCAUCUAUAGCCAGAACACACAGGAAGUCCAUAUGUGUAGCUUCUGGUUAGUUUCCUAGUGGACGCCGCAUUGAUGAGGGCCACGUCAAUAAAAUUGCGGGCGGGUUGGAGGUUGGUGGUUGGACGUUUUGCGAGAUGGAAGCUCGACAUGAAACAAAAUGUCUAACUAAGAAGUAUAAAAGAAAUGCGCCACGUCAGACUAAUCCUUGCGCCAUCAUAUUACAGCAUCGUCGGGACGACUGCUUCAGCUUCAGCUUCAGCUACAGCUACAGCCCAAGAGCCAAGAAAACUUGUGAAUAUUGUGCAGGAGGCGCUCGACUCCUCGCUCCAUCUUCGUCUCGCCUUGCCUCUGGCAGCGCCCUCCGCAUCAGCCAGUGUGUCAUGGAAGCCAUCAAUCGUUUUGUUGAAAUGUGCAAUAAAAGAAAAGUCAUGAAAA